GACGAACGCUGGCGGCGUGCCUAAUACAUGCAAGUAGAACGCACAGUUUAUACCGUAGCUUGCUACACCAUAAACUGUGAGUUGCGAACGGGUGAGUAACGCGUAGGUAACCUGCCUGGUAGCGGGGGAUAACUAUUGGAAACGAUAGCUAAUACCGCAUAAUAUUGAUUAUUGCAUGAUAAUUGAUUGAAAGAUGCUAUUGCAUCACUACCAGAUGGACCUGCGUUGUAUUAGCUAGUAGGUGAGGUAACGGCUCACCUAGGCGACGAUACAUAGCCGACCUGAGAGGGUGAUCGGCCACACUGGGACUGAGACACGGCCCAGACUCCUACGGGAGGCAGCAGUAGGGAAUCUUCGGCAAUGGACGAAAGUCUGACCGAGCAACGCCGCGUGAGGGAAGAAGGUUUUCGGAUCGUAAAGCUCGGUUGUAAGAGAAGAACGGGUGUGAGAGUGGAAAGUUCACACUGUGACGGUAUCUUACCAGAAAGGGACGGCUAACUACGUG
rnacentral:rRNA from 1 species